AGUGAACGCUGGCGGUAUGCCUAACACAUGCAAGUCGAACGGCAGCACAGUAAGAGCUUGCUCUUACGGGUGGCGAGUGGCGGACGGGUGAGGAAUACAUCGGAAUCUACUUUUUCGUGGGGGAUAACGUAGGGAAACUUACGCUAAUACCGCAUACGACCUACGGGUGAAAGCAGGGGAUCUUCGGACCUUGCGCGAUUGAAUGAGCCGAUGUCGGAUUAGCUAGUUGGCGGGGUAAAGGCCCACCAAGGCGACGAUCCGUAGCUGGUCUGAGAGGAUGAUCUGACACACUGGAAAUGAGACACGGGCCAGAGUCCUACGGGAGGCAGCAGUGGGGAAAAUUUUGCAAUGGGCGCAAGACUGAGAGAGCAACACCGCGUGUGGGAAGAAGGGCUUCGGGUGGUAAAAAGCUUUUUUGGGGGAAGAAAAAAGGAGCAGGUUAAUACCCCGGUGUUGACGGUACCCAAAAAGAAAGCGCCGGCUAAAUCCGUG
rnacentral:rRNA from 1 species